GUUAUUCACAAGUGGCUCCAGUCUGGUUUGGGGGUCUACGCUUUCUCAUCCUGUCCUGCCACCCAAGUGAAGUUAUUCACAAGUGGCUCCAGUCUGGUUUGGGGGUCUACGCUUUCUCAUCCUGUCCUGAGUGAUUCUUGACAUUGAAAUUAUAUCAAAAUUUGUCAAUAAAUGUUCAUACUUUUGUCAUUAA